rnacentral:rRNA from 1 species
UACCAGCACCCCGAGUGGUCGGGACGAUUAUUGGGCCUAAUGCAUCCGUAGCCGGUUUUACAAGUCCUCCGUUAAAUCCAGCUGCUUAACAGAUGGGCUGCGGAGGAUACUAUAAGACUAGGAGGCAGGAGAGGCAAGCGGUACUCAGUGGGUAGGGGUAAAAUCCGUUGAUCCAUUGAAGACCACCAGUGGCGAAGGCGGCUUGCCAGAAUGCGCUCGACGGUGAGGGAUGAAAGCUGGGGGAGCAAACCGG